rnacentral:rRNA from 1 species
UGCCCAAGAGACUGGGAUAACACCUGGAAACAGAUGCUAAUACCGGAUAACAACACUAGACGCAUGUCUUAGAGUUUUAAAAGAUGGUUCUGUUAUCACUCUUGGAUGGGACCUGCGGUGCAUUAGCUAAUUGGUAAGGGCAACGGCUUACCAAGGCAAUGAUGCAUAGCCGAGUUGAGAGACUGAUCGGCCACAUUGGGACUGAGACACGGCCCAAACUCCUACGGGAGGCAGCAGUAGGGGAAUCUUCCACAAUGGACACAAGUCUGAUGGAGCAACGCCGCGUGAGUGAAGAAGGGUUUCGGCUCGUAAAGCUCUGUUGGUAGUGAAGAAAGAUAGAGGUAGUAACUGGUCCUUUAUUUGACGGUAAUUACUUAGAAAAGUCACGGGCUAACUACGUGCCCAGCAGCCGCGGGUAAAUA